AUUAGGGCUACUUGGGGCAGCAGGCGGCGACUGUUACGCCAGUGCUCAACCCAGCCGCUGCCGGCAUGGUGGACCUUGCAGGAGCAGGAGCAGGAAAUAGGGCUACUGGUGCAGGCGGUGCCUAUGGCGGUGGAGCUGGGUUAUACAACAGCUGCAGCAGCAAUCAGCUGGAGGUGUGGGACGCCACAGAGGCGAUGGAUCACUGCAACGCCAGCUGCGGUGCGGCAUCAGGCAGCUCUGACGAGGGUGGCGCAGCUCAUCUGCAGCUGCCGGCAUGCUGCCGCCGCCCUCUCAAGACAUUGGACCUCUUCCCCACUAAGAGCACUGGACUCAAGGACGAGUGCAGCAGCUCCAAGUCGUCCUCUUGCUCCACAUCCACUAACUAAUUUAAGCAUCGUCAUUAUUAAAUCGCUUUAGUUUCUACAUUGUUGGCUUCUGGUAUUUCUUUGAUUUGCUAGCUAGUAGAUUCGGUCAUCGUCUCAAGUGUGUCAUUAUAUCGUUGCGUUGCGUUGUAUUGUGUGUUGUUAUAACUACGUUUAAGUUUCAGUACUUUAUCUCAAUUUAUCUA
rnacentral:misc_RNA from 1 species